rnacentral:rRNA from 1 species
AGCGAACGCUGGCGGCAGGCCUAACACAUGCAAGUCGAACGAACUCUUCGGAGUUAGUGGCGGACGGGUGAGUAACACGUGGGAACGUGCCUUUUUGUUCGGCAUAACUCAGGGAAACUUGUGCUAAUACCGAAUGUGCCCUUCGGGGGAAAGAUUUAUCGCCAUUAGAGCGGCCCGCGUCUGAUUAGCUCGUUGGUGAGGUAACGGCUCCCGAAGGCGACGAUCAGUAGCUGGUCUGAGAGGAUGACCAGCCACACUGGGACUGAGACACGGCCCAGACUCCUACGGGAGGCAGCAGUGGGGGAUCUUGCGCAAUGGGCGAAAGCCUGACGCAGCCAUGCCGCGUGAAUGAUGAAGGUCUUAGGAUUGUAAAAUUCUUUCACCGGGGACGAUAAUGACGGUACCCGGAGAAGAAGCCCCGGCUAACUUCGUG